GGCGAACGCUGGCGGCAGGCCUAACACAUGCAAGUCGAACGAAGCCUUCGGGCUUAGUGGCGGACGGGUGAGUAACACGUGGGAACGUACCUUUUGGUUCGGAACAACUCAGGGAAACUUGAGCUAAUACCGGAUGAGCCCUUAGGGGGAAAGAUUUAUCGCCGAAAGAGCGGCCCGCGUUAGAUUAGCUAGUUGGUGAGGUAAAGGCUCAACAAGGCAACGAUCUAUAGCUGGUCUGAGAGGAUGAUCAGCCACACUGGGACUGAGACACGGCCCAGACUCCUACGGGAGGCAGCAGUGGGGAAUCUUGCGCAAUGGGCGAAAGCCUGACGCAGCCAUGCCGCGUGAAUGAUGAAGGUCUUAGGAUUGUAAAAUUCUUUUACCAGGGACGAUAAUGACGGUACCUGGAGAAAAAGCCCCGGCUAACUUCGUGCCAGCCGCCGCGGUAACAC
rnacentral:rRNA from 1 species